rnacentral:lncRNA from 1 species
CCCUGUUACUCACCCCUCCUUUCCUUCCCCUUUCAGAUGAGACUGACGAGCAAUAGUGAUUGCUAUCGGGCUGGUGCUUUGGGAGUUUUAUUUCUGUCUUUUUCAGACUUGCGGAUUUUAUGCUUUUAUUGAUAUUUUCGGGAUUUAUUAUGUUAUUUGGAUUUAUGGCUAUUUAUUGGAUUUACGACUUUGGAGUUGACUUUUGAGAAAUAAUAAAUGGAGAUUUCAGAUUUUUUAUUUAUUUAAGUUAUUUCGGAAAAUACGGGUGUUAUAAUUUGGUAUCAGAGCGGGGUUCCGUUCCAGCUCUGACCCGGGAUGGCGAUUUGUUGGGACGUGGUUUCGACUCGGUUUUGACUCGGUUUUAAUUCGGUUUAAUCGAUUUUAAAAGAUUUUUGAAUCGGGGAUUUGGGAGUUUUAAAGAAAGAAAAAUACAACACCUUUCCGUUCAGUAACUUCUAACCCAAUUGUCUUUUUAUUGACGAUGAGUUUAUCAUCGCCAUCCGCUCUCUAGCUAACAAGGUUUCAGCCAGAUGUUCGAGAGAUGGAUGAUGUCACAGUUUGAUAGAUUGCUCAGGUGUGUAUCAGUUUCGUCAGCCGUGUUCAGAAAUUGUCCACAUGUGGAUGUGUGACGUUG